GAGGGGAAGGGAAAUUUCUCAAAUAACCCAUGUAAAAAAUAUUUUGUAAACUAGGAAGGAUUAUUAUCACUUGGGCAUUAUUACUAAAGUCUACUUUUCUAAAAUACUCUAUCAUAAUCAAAAUAGUUCAGUCAAGUCAAAUCACCAGACCUAGAGCAUAAACUUUGCGCCACGCCCUGUGCAAUGCAUGAUGGAUUCAAAGAUGCACAAAGGGGAAAGGCACAAGGAGUUACAUUUACUCUGAAGGAUCACUCAUGGUACUACUGUCAUAGCAAGAAAAAAUGGUGGCAUCAACGCUUUGCCAGAGGGACAUUUUCAGAAACAAGUGUGUUACAAAUAUUGAAAUAUUGAAAUCCAGGGGUCAAACCAAUUGAAAUAGACAACCUCUUAUGCCAUUCUCUAAUUUACCAAAUCCAGUUUGUUUAAUAGGGGGUAAAGGCUGGCAAUGACACUCCUAAAUUCUGGAGCACUUCUCCUUUCAAAAUGAUUUUAAAACAAUUAAAUAGAUACUGACAAGACUCCCGGCAGCAAGAACUACUGAAUAUGAUCAGGAGUGAGGAGACCCUUGGUCAUUUAUACAUUCAGGCUAUUUAUUUAUUUAUGGAGCACCCACUGUAUGCCAGCCACUGCGUGUGCAGAGUAGGGAACGACACAGAUGGUGACUUCCCCACGAGGGUGGGUGUGGGGGAGUAGAGAGUGAAGGGGGAAGAGGGCACAGGACCCGCCUCAGAGGAUGCUAGCAUUUCAGAGUCAAGUGGCCCACAAGUGAGCAGCCGCCCAGGGAGACUGAGAGGAAGUAAGCAAAGAGGCAGAAGGGACAGCAGGAGAAAGCGCAUUGUCACUGAAGCCAGGAGAAGAGAGUGUGAGAAGGAGGGAGUAGCCCAUCUUCAGUGUAGACUACUGUUGAGACAUGAAAUAAGGUGAGGCCAUGACCCCUCUCUCCACAGGAAGGUUACUGAUGACGUCAGAAGAGCUGACGGAGGAGCCUGGGCCAGAACCGGACUGGGUGUGUUGAGAAGUGGCUGAGGGAACCCUCCUGCACUGCUGGUGGGAAUGUAAACUGGUACAGCCACUAUGGAGAACAGUUUGGAGAUACCUUAGAAAUCUAUACAUAGAACUUCCAUAUGACCCUGCAAUCCCACUCUUGGGCAUCUAUCCGGACAAAGCUCUACUUAAAAGAGACACAUGCACCCGCAUGUUCAUUGCAGCACUAUUCACAAUAGCCAGGACAUGGAAACAAUCCAAAUGUCCAUCGACAGAGGAUUGGAUUCGGAAGAUGUGGUAUAUAUACACAAUGGAAUACUACUCAGCCAUAAAAAAGGAUGACAUCAUGCCAUUUGCAGCAACAUGGAUGGAACUAGAGAAUCUCAUACUGAGUGAAAUGAGCCAGAAAGACAAAGACAAAUACCAUAUGAUAUCACUUAUAACUGGAAUCUAAUAUCCAGCACAAAUGAACAUCUCCUCAGAAAAGAAAAUCAUGGACUUGGAGAAGAGACUUGUGGUUGCCUGAUGGGAGGGGGAGGGAGUGGGAGGGAUCGGGAGCUUGGGCUUAUCAGACACAACCUAGAAUAGAUUUAUAAGGAGAUCCUGCUGAAUAGCAUUGAGAACUAUGUCUAGAUACUCAUGUCGCAACAGAAGAAAGGGUGGGGGAAAAAACUGUAACUCCAAUGUAUACAUCUAAGGAUGACCUGACCCCCUUGCUGUACAGUGGGAAAAUAAUUAAAAAAAAAAAAAAACAGAAGUGGCUGGGAUGUGUGUAAGUGGAAUGUUCAAAUGCAGACCACCCGUUAACAAACCCGAGCGAGAAGACAGUAGCUGGAUGCACGCGAGAAGCUCAGGGAGAAUUUUCAGAGAUGGGAGAUAACUAGCAAAUUUGGAAGCUGAUAAAAAGAACUUGUGAAAGCAAUAUUCCUUAAAUCAUCUUUUAAAAUGUAUCUCCCAGUAGGAAAUGUAUCUUUCAUCACUCAGUAUGUCCUCUACACACAUGCUAUUGAGACAUAUGUUUCAGAAAGCAAAAGUUUAAGCAAACAAUGUUUGCCUUUAUUAUGCGUGAUAAAUGGAUAAUCUCUAUUUUCUUCUAUUUCAUUUUUAAUUAAAUUAUAAAAGUAUACUUGAUUCAGUGUUUAAAAAUUCAAAGUAGUAAAUUCAAAUGCUCAAGGUAAUAAAUUCAAACAAGACAGAAGUAGUACAGUAAAAGCUGACAUUCCUCCUCAAUACCUACUAUCCUUCUAAAUCCCAUUUCCCAGCUCAGAAGACUGGGAAUGAACAAUCUGAUGUGAGUCCUUUGAAAGCACUUUCCAUGCAUUUACCUAAGUAAUGCACACGGACGCACACAGACAGCUGUUCCGGUUUUGGUAAAUGUGAUCAUACAUACUCUAUUGUUCUGAAGCUUAAUUUUUCUCUCCUUCUCUGUUGAAAAUAUUUUUAUGUCAGUAACUUAUUAUCCACCUCAUUCUCCAGAAAGAUUUGUAGCUUUCUAUCAUAUAAAUGUACUGUGAUUUAUUUUAAAUCAUCCCUGUAUUGAGGGACAGUGAAAUUGCUUCUAAUUCCACGCAGUGCUAAAAUGAAUAUCCAUGUACAGGUGUGAAUAUUUUUAAGGAAGAGAAUCUUGGAAAUAGGUAAAUAGGAACACUUUGAUAAAUAUCACCAUGUGCACCUCUUUAAAGGCUAAGCUCGGUGUGUACAACGCCACGUGAUAAUGAAAGGCAGGCGUCUACUGUCAGUAACAGUCUAUAGUCAAUCUGUCAAAUGUUUUUGUCUGUUCCUUGAUUUUGUCUUGCUUUGUGAGGAUGUUCUCAUUUUGAAAAUCAUAAAACUUCUCGCAUAUUUCUAUUUAGAAAUUUUACAAUCUUAUUUUGUAUUUCAUGUACAGCUUUUGAAAUCUAUCCAAUUUUUUUAAAUUGGUGAGAAGUGGAAGAAAAUUUUUUUCCAUACGGAGAGCCAAUUUCUCCAAUACCAUCUGUUAAAUAUUCUAAUCUUUAUCAAUCUUUUGAAAUGCUUUCUUUAUCUUAUCUCAGUUCUUAUCUGUGGUCUCUGGUCUGUGCCAUUGAUGUAUUAUCUAUUCCAGAAAAAAUUCCACAUGAUUUAAUGAUAGUAACUUUAUGGUUUAUUUGAUAAGUGGGAGAGUGAUACUGCCCCUGUUGUUUUGUUUUUCUCAUUUUCUUGGGUAUGCUUGUGUACUUACUUUCAGGGACAACUUUUACAAUCACUUUCUGUUCCAUUAUAAAAUCUUUUUAAGGUGCUGGUUGUGAUUUGCUUAUGUUUUCUGUCUGAAAUGUUAUCCCGAGUCAUCCACUUAGAGUAAGGCAUGGAGGAGAAGGGUCAGAUGUUUGAAAAGAGUGAGGGUUUGAAAUAACUGUUCUGGAAAGUGGAAGAACUGGCUUAUCAGAUUGUCCUGCAGAGGCGGAGGCAGCCCAGAAUUUACACUAGCAUCUCUCUGCAGUUUGGGUGAUGUUUUCCAUCCAUGCGCAGCUGCUCCUGAGCACGAUUUGGUUGGGUUCAUGCUGGAACUGGGUACGGCUAAGACAAGCAUAACAGAGGGAGAGAGGGAUGAGAGAAAUGAAGGUAUUUUUAUCUUUUUGUCAUCUUUUCAGUAAAGACAGAAUAGAAAUAAUUUUGUUUUCUAGUCAUCAAAUAGGAAUACAUGUGAAUAAAUCAAGAGAGGUGCAACUUCUUCGUUUGGUUGUUGCUCGAAACAUCUUAGUCAAAUAAAAAUAUGAACUUGUGGGCAAGCAAGCUAUAUUACAACUGAUCUUUGUAUUGUAUAAACAAUCUAUUAUGUAUAUGAAAUGAUAAUAUGUUAUACUUGAGAUACUGUCCUUGUAACAGGAGAGCACUUUUGGUGUAAACUCCUAUUUCGAGUGUGUAUAAUUUCCCUAACAUUUUCUUUGGUACUAAGCAUUCUCAAAUGCGUUCCCAGGGGGAUCUGGAAAUGUUGGUACAUAGCCAUUUGGCAGUUUAGGGAUUUGUUAGAGCGUGGGAAAAUUCCGAGGUUAUUUUCAGGUUAUGAUAUCUGAAUACUUCUUUGCAGGUCCAAAGAAGAGUUUGUUUUUAAAACUGUAAGGAUACCUUCGUCUUGGUCCUCACUGAGAGGAGAAAUUGCUGCUAUCUUUGAAGAACUAUCAUUCCAAAGAAAAUCUGGAGUUAGAAAAUUGAAGACCUAAAAUCCAGAAGAAACAUAAAAAUCUCCUAAUAUUUCACAUGGCUUAUUGGUUUGUUAUAUUUUCCUUUACUUGGACAAGCAGAGUGAAAGCACACUGAAGAAGGGAGUCAUAUGGGAUACGAACGUGGGUGUGAUGGGUUCCCAUCAUCGUGGAUUUUAGCCACUAGCCAUUUACACGUUCCCUCUCUGUGAACCCAGGCUUCCGCAGGGUGAUUCUCUGUUCCACGCUGGGGAACUAACUCAGAGCUUCUCCUUUGGGGCUUCCCAAACUCUUGCAAUGCCCUCCAUUCCUAGCAUAGCUCUUUCGGCCUGACUGCUCUGUAGGUCUCUAGCAAUCCCACUCGUACCCAGGGCUCAACUACUGCAAAGAGGAGAGCAUGAUGUUAGGACCUCGGGAAAUGGCCUCAUCUGAAGGCAUCUGACUGCUGUUUUCAUAGUUUCCAUCAGCUUUCAGCACACUCUCCGAAUCUCCUUCAGCCACGGUAGCCUGAACGCAUGCAAUUUUGGGGGGCGGGUGGGAGGGCGGUACGCCAGAGACAUGCAGAAUUUCCCAGGCCAGAGACCAAACCCAUGCCACAGCAGUGGCCUGAACCACAGCAGUGACAAUGCAGGAUCCUUAACCCACUGUACCAGCAGGGAACUCCUGGACUCAUGCAAGUUUAAAUGAACGGGGUGACCGCAUUUUUCAAGAGGUGCCAGAAACCUCACAUUCAACUGUUCAACUCGUGUAUCCUAUGUCUGAUCAACCACAAUUUAUUCCCUGAACUUUGAGUGAAGACAGUGAAAAUAAACAUGAAACAUCAAUGUGUUCUUGGCAUGUAACACCAAUUGGAAAAUUCAUGUUUUAAGAGUUCUGUCGUGGUGCAGCAGAAACGAGUCCGACUAGGAACAUGAGGUUGCGGGUUCAAUCCCCGGCCUCAAUCAGUGGGUUAAGGAUCCCGCGUUCCCAUGAGCUGUGGUGUAGGUCAUAGAUGUGGCUCUGAUCCGGCGUUGCUGUGGCUGUGGUGUAGGCCGGCAGCUAUAGCUCUGAUUAGACCCCUAUCUUGGGAACCUCCAUAUGCUGUGGGUGCAGCCCUAAAAAAAAAAAAAGAAAAGAAAAAAAAGAAAAGAAAAUUCACAUUUCACGUUUCAGAUUCUCACUCCUCUCCGGUCAAUUUUAACCAAAGAAUAUAUCUCUUACAUCUAUGCCCCCAUCCACUGGCACUGCCAAAGCUCUUGGUUCAAGUCUUCAUCAUUGUUCAUCUGAUCCACUAUAAAGCCAAUGUCUCUUAUCUUUUGAAAAUGUACAUCUACUCACAGUACUGCUAACAAUUUUCUGUGGCUUGUCUGCCCAAACUGUUGGCCUGAAGUCCUUCAAGUUCUG
rnacentral:lncRNA from 9 species